AGGCGCGUAGCUCAGAUGGUUAGAGUCCUACCUUGACAUGGUAGAGGUCGUUGGUUCGAAUCCAAUCGCGCCUA
rfam:Asian citrus Psyllid, Diaphorina citri - Florida Strain, whole genome shotgun sequence.